GAUGAACGCUGGCGGCGUGCUUAACACAUGCAAGUCGAACGGUGAAGGCGGAGCUUGCUCUGCUGGAUCAGUGGCGAACGGGUGAGUAACACGUGAGCAAUCUGCCCCUGACUCUGGGAUAAGCGCUGGAAACGGCGUCUAAUACUGGAUACGAGCUGCGAAGGCAUCUUCAGCAGCUGGAAAGAAUUUCGGCCAGGGAUGAGCUCGCGGCCUAUCAGCUUGUUGGUGAGGUAAUGGCUCACCAAGGCGUCGACGGGUAGCCGGCCUGAGAGGGUGACCGGCCACACUGGGACUGAGACACGGCCCAGACUCCUACGGGAGGCAGCAGUGGGGAAUAUUGCACAAUGGGCGAAAGCCUGAUGCAGCAACGCCGCGUGAGGGACGACGGCCUUCGGGUUGUAAACCUCUUUUAGCAGGGAAGAAGCGAAAGUGACGGUACCUGCAGAAAAAGCGCCGGCUAACUACGUG
rnacentral:rRNA from 1 species